rnacentral:snoRNA from 1 species
UCUCAUCUUCUGUCCUACUUUGGUGUUUAAAAGUCAACCCCUCCACUACAGAUGCAAGAAAAGAAGGUCCUCACGUUUUCUGUCUGUCUGGUUGUGGCAGCCAAGAUUGAAUGGGGGAAUACAGGA